rnacentral:rRNA from 1 species
UACGAAGGGGGCUAGCGUUGUUCGGAUUUACUGGGCGUAAAGGGCGCGUAGGCGGAAUGACAAGUCAGAGGUGAAAGCCCUGGGCUCAACCCGGGAAUUGCCUUUGGGACUGUCGUUCUAGAGUUCGGAAGAGGAUGGCGGAAUACCCAGUGUAGAGGUGAAAUUCGUAGAUAUUGGGUAGAACACCGGUGGCGAAGGCGGCCAUCUGGUCCGACACUGACGCUGAGGCGCGAAAGCGUGGGGAGCAAACAGG